UUUGCUGCUGCUAGAAGCUUAUGUGUUUUUCCCUGUUUUGCUGGCUUGUUUUUGGCUCGUUAUUGUUGUGCUAGGAGCCUUUUUGUGUGCUGUAAAGGAUAACCCAUGUAUCCUGGUUUUUUUAUUUCAGCAAAAAACCCUCACGUGACCUUGCUUAUUCGGCUUCCAAUUUAUUUUUUAUUUUUAAAUAAAUAAUACACAUUUGUUUUGACCAAUUAAAUUAAGACACGUGUAUAUAAUAU
rnacentral:lncRNA from 1 species